rnacentral:rRNA from 1 species
UACAGAGGAGCCAAGCGUUGUCCGGAUUGACUGGGCGUAAAGCGCACGCAGGCGGACGCGCGCGUGGGGUGUGAAAUCUGGCCGCUUAACGGCCAGGCGCCAUCCCAUACGGCGGGUCUGGAGCCUUGCAGAGGUCGGUGGAAUUGCCGGUGUAGCGGUGAAAUGUGUAGAGAUCGGGAGGAACACCGGUGGCGAAGGCGGGUCUCUGGGCAAUUCCUGACGCUGAGGCGCGAAAGCGUGGGGAGCAAACGGG